rnacentral:lncRNA from 1 species
AGGCCCAAGAACUUCAGCAUUGGGCAUGACAUCCAGCCCAAAAGAGAUCUAACAUGAUUCGUCAAAUUGCUCCUGUACAUCAGGCUGAAGCAGCCAAGAACUGUCCUCUAUAAGCAGCUCAAAGUACCUCCUUCUAUUAAGCAGCUCACCCAGGCCCUGGACAGGCAAACAGCUACUCAGCUGCUUAAGCUUGCCCACAAGUACAGGCCAGAGACAAAGCAAGAGAAGCAAUGACUACUGGCCCAUUCUGAGAAGAAAGCUGCUGGCAAAGGGGACCACCUGACCUCCA